GCCAGGCGCGGUGGCUCACGCCUGUAAUCCCAGCACUUUGGGAGGCCGAGACGGGCGGAUCACGAGGUCAGGAGAUCGAGACCAUCCUGGCUAACACGGUGUUAGCCAGGAUGGUCUCGAUCUCCUGACCUCGUGAUCCGCCCGUCUCGG
rnacentral:SRP_RNA from 1 species